UUCUGGGAAUAACCGGGAAUAACCGGGGAUUCUGGGAAUAACCGGGGAUUCUGGGGAUUUCCUGCUGGCCAACUUCCAGAGCCACCUGCGGGAGUCCUGCCUGCACUUCUCCCGCAGGGUGGGAUACAGGUGUCCCAGCUGCUCCGUGGUGUUCGGCGGCGUCAAUUCCAUCAAAUCCCACAUCCAGAGCUGUCACUGCGAGGUUUUCCACAAGUGCCCCGUGUGUCCCAUGGCCUUCAAAUCCUCCCCCAGCGCCCAGGGCCACCUGUGCGCGCAACACCCGGCCUGCGGCGCGCAGCCCGCCAAGUCAGUGCUGCGGGAACGACACCGGGGGAACACGCGGCGGGAAAAACACCGGGAAAAACACCGGGAAAAACGGCGGGGAACGGCGGG